UACGGGGGGGGCAAGCGUUGUUCGGAAUUACUGGGCGUAAAGGGCUCGUAGGCGGCCAACUAAGUCGGAUGUGAAAUCCCCAGGCUUAACCUGGGAACUGCAUCCGAUACUGGAUGGCUUGAAUUCGGGAGAGGGAUGCAGAAUUCCAGGUGUAGCGGUGAAAUGCGUAGAUAUCUGGAGGAACACCGGUGGCGAAGGCGGCAUCCUGGACCGGCAUUGACGCUGAGGAGCGAAAGCCAGGGGAGCAAACGGG
rnacentral:rRNA from 1 species